rnacentral:rRNA from 1 species
UACAGAGGGCGCGAGCGUUGUCCGGAAUCACUGGGCGUAAAGGGCGCGUAGGCGGCUCGCGAGGUCGGGGGUGAAAUCCCACGGCUUAACCGUGGAAGGGCCUUCGAUACCGGCGGGCUAGAGGAAGGUAGGGGUGCGCGGAACUUCUGGUGGAGCGAUGAAAUGCGUUGAUAUCAGAAGGAACGCCGGCGGCGAAAGCGGCGCACUGGAUCUUUUCUGACGCUGAGGCGCGAAAGCCAGGGGAGCAAACGGG